rnacentral:lncRNA from 1 species
UGUUAAGUAAUAGUUUAAUGCCGUGCGCAUUAUUUGGUCUUUUGCUAUUUUGCCAUACUCGAGUUUUCUCCCGAGUUGAACAGCAGAAGGAGCAAUUUAAAGAAAAGGAAGAAUGGCACAAAGUCUAGCACUGUCCACUGUCAUUUGCUGUGAAUUGCUUGACUGCGGUUGAAAGCUUCAAAUGAUCAAGAAAUCACGGUGCAUAAUCUUUAGCGAAGAUUUAUUUCUAUUGUACAGAAAAACGAGAAUGCCGCACAGGCUAGCACUGUCCACUGUCACCUGCUGUGAUUUACUUGACUGCGGUUGAACACUUCAAAUGAUCAAGAUGUUGCAGUUCAUAAACUUCAGUGAAGAUGCGUUUCUGUUGUACAGAAACCAAGUCAGAAGCUGUUACCACAUACAUGUACGUGAAGAAAGCAUCUUAUUUUGAAAGCAGGGAUAUUUAGCCAGUGUUGAUCAGCUGUGACAAUGAUGGACCUAGCUGUAAAAAGAUAGACCUUAUGUCUUUCAAAUGAGAAGAAGAGCCUGUAAUAGUGCAAAUGGGUCCAAGUCAUCUCCUGAUCUGUUCUCCAAUUGAAUACUGCUGUCUGAAUGUGUUCACAGAAUGAAUGCGAACCACGGCCCUUGCACCAGGAUCUUGCAAAUACGUGAAACUGCCAAUUUCAACCAUUUCACCUGUGGAUAUUGGAUUAUGAAGGUCAAAGUUUGCUGGAGAAAUUCACCCAAUACAAAUUUUCAGAUCCAACAACUAAGAAACACUCUCUUGACGGUGGACACGUCAACCUUCACAAAUGACAAGGAGCAAAUUAUUUCGUUUUCUUUCGUUUUAUUUCUUUCAAUAUCUUUUAAAUCACUUUUAUCAACAUGAAUUUGUUUCGGAACAAUUACCCUUCUGGCAUCUAACAAUCCGUUUACCAUGGCAUCAAUAAGUUGGUUAUUGAAUUAAAAAAAAAAAAUUGCGAAAAAAAAAGAUUACAAAAACUUAAUAGUAUGGUAACAAUUUGAAACAUGAUUUUAAGUACAGCACGACUAUUUUUUAAGUUGAUGGCCAAAUUUGGGGUAGAAAACACCCGAUAUAAAAAGGUUGCUAUGCAUAAUGUGCAGUGAUCAUGCAACUCGUUAAAAAAUUUACAGCACACAGUAAGUACGUUUUGGAGAUUAAUGAGAAAAGUAAAAGAAAUUCUAUACAAUUUACAACCUUCUGGCUUGAUCAGUGCAAGUUUAAAGUUUCGUAUUAACAAAUUCUUUUACAAAAAAGCAUAUUUCUGUUUUCUACAGUACAACAGUAAGUUAUAGUCUGUGUCCACUUUAACAUAAAUUUGUGCAGUUACAAGAACGCAAAUAAAAAUAUGUGUAAAACAAUGUA